GACGAACCGUGCGAACGUUGUUCGGAAUCACUGGGCUUAAAGGGCGCGUAGGCGGCUUUGUAAGUUAGAGGUGAAAGCCCGGGGCUCAACUCCGGAAUUGCCUUUAAGACUGCAUCGCUAGAAUUGUGGAGAGGUAAGUGGAAUUCCGAGUGUAGAGGUGAAAUUCGUAGAUAUUCGGAAGAACACCAGUGGCGAAGGCGACUUACUGGACACAUAUUGACGCUGAGGUGCGAAAGCGUGGGGAGCAAACAGGG
rnacentral:rRNA from 1 species